rnacentral:rRNA from 1 species
UACAGAGGGGGCAAGCGUUGUUCGGAAUUACUGGGCGUAAAGGGCGCGUAGGCGGCCUGUUAAGUCGAACGUGAAAUCCCCGGGCUCAACCCGGGAACUGCGUCCGAUACUGGCAGGCUUGAAUUCGGGAGAGGGAUGUGGAAUUCCAGGUGUAGCGGUGAAAUGCGUAGAUAUCUGGAGGAACACCGGUGGCGAAGGCGGCAUCCUGGACCGAUAUUGACGCUGAUGCGCGAAAGCCAGGGGAGCAAAACGGGG